CCUAUUCUUUCCCUCGCCGAAAACCUGCUUUCCCUUCUUCUAUACCGCGAUUUCUCCUCAACUCCAUCCGCCGAACCUUUUUCUUUUCUUCAUCGAGCUCGCGCCGCCGAGCCCUCCCUCCUUCCUCUGCUCAUCAUCACCGCCGGCCCGAAGCUUCUCUCCUCCUUCCCAAUCCAGCCGAGGCCCUGCUCCCUGACUCAUCGCCAGCGCCAAAUGUCGGCUGGUCUCGUGCCCUAGCCGUCCCUCUUCCCUGCUCCGACGCCGACAAGCUGCAAGCCUCAGUUCGUCGUGCCCGAGGAUCUGAAUUUCCCCACUACUGCCCCUUCCCGAUCUCCUCUUCUCUCCCGGGCCGCCCAACGCCGCCACCCUCUCCGAUCACCGUCCAGCGCCGGCGCCCUAGCUUGAAGCCGAGCACCCCAGGUCCAUUGUUCUAUGCCCUAGCUGUUGGCCAAUCCUCUCUUCCUUGCCAACUCCGAUCGUCGUUUGCCUAGUUUCCAUUGGGGAGAAAACUGGCAGUGGCUUUUGGGAGGCAUCGACCAUAGAUCUCUGGCACCAACCUAUUGCUGUUGCUUACUAUUGGAGAGGAAGAGCAUUGGGUAGCAACUCUAGCUUGUUUCCGGCAGCCAACAUCUUCGACUUUGGAUCAACAGUGAUACAUCUAAAUUUAGGACUCUAAUUCGAGACGAGCAUCUCGACGUUGGAUUGCUUGAUACAACCUUCUUUUUGAGGCAGAUAUUUCUUGACUUAUCUUAUAGCAGGUAGAUUUGUGGAGUCGUUUGGAGUAUCCUGUCCGUCGGUUCCCACGUCACAUCCGAAAACCUGUUUCUGGUUUUCAUUUGUACUUUAUUUGGUUUAUGUUUUGGUUUACUUAGCAAUGUAGAAUUUCGAUUUUGGUUCCGGAGUGUUGUGAUGUGGUGUUUUGUAUUGUUUGUUGUGUUGUGUAAGUCUAGCUGGCUAACAGUCAUUCAUUUGGUUUGUAAUGAUUUUUUGUUGUAUUUUCCAUCGUGUUCUUCUUUUAGUACAGCCGAAUGGGUUGUUAGAUAUAUAUAUAACUGCGUGGUUGUAUUUUUUAUA